AAUCAACGCUGGCGGCGUGCCUCAGACAUGCAAGUCGAACGAUUAAGACUUCCUUCGGGAAGUGUAUAAAGUGGCGCACGGGUGAGUAACGCGUAAGUAAUCUACCCUCGAGUGGGGAAUAACGUUCGGAAACGAACGCUAAUACCGCAUAAUGCAGCGGCAUCGCAAGAUGACAGUUGUUAAAGGAGUAAUUCGCUUGAGGAGGAGCUUGCGGCAGAUUAGCUAGUUGGUAAGGUAACGGCUUACCAAGGCUACGAUCUGUAUCCGGUCUAAGAGGACGGUCGGACACACUGACACUGAAUAACGGGUCAGACUCCUACGGGAGGCAGCAGUCGGGAAUUUUGGGCAAUGGGCGAAAGCCUGACCCAGCAACGCCGCGUGAAGGAUGAAGUAUUUCGGUAUGUAAACUUCGAAAGAAUGGGAAGAAUAAAUGACGGUACCAUUUAUAAGCUCCGGCUAACUACGUGCCAGCAGCCGCCAUAACAC
rnacentral:rRNA from 1 species